CCCCGAACAACCCAAACUGUUAAUCUUCAAUACCUCUUUGUACUUACGAUCUUGUAUCCACUGACUGUCCUAUUAGAUUAACCCAAUAAAUUUCAUUCACUCCGCAUAUUCAAUCCUAUAGACACCCCUUUAAUCCUUCAAUCACAGACGUAACUCGAUUUUACAAAACAGUCAAGAGUAUUCAAACCCACUUCAUUUAAAAAUCCCGAUUCACCAUUACAACACUGACUUCAACAGCGAUUGCCUCAGUCUUCCCAAAAAUCUAUGAAGAAGAAAAAUCCAAAUUCUAUGUCUUUCCUU
rnacentral:lncRNA from 1 species